rnacentral:rRNA from 1 species
GAUGAACGCUGGCGGCGUGCUUAACACAUGCAAGUCGAACGAUGAAAGCGGGAGCUUGCUCCUGCUGGAUUAGUGGCGAACGGGUGAGUAACACGUGAGCAAUCUGCCCCGAACUCUGGGAUAAGCGUUGGAAACGACGUCUAAUACCGGAUACGACGCGCGAAGGCAUCUUCUGCGCGUGGAAAGAAUUUCGGUUCGGGAUGAGCUCGCGGCCUAUCAGCUAGUUGGUGAGGUAACGGCUCACCAAGGCGACGACGGGUAGCCGGCCUGAGAGGGUGACCGGCCACACUGGGACUGAGACACGGCCCAGACUCCUACGGGAGGCAGCAGUGGGGAAUAUUGCACAAUGGGCGAAAGCCUGAUGCAGCAACGCCGCGUGAGGGACGACGGCCUUCGGGUUGUAAACCUCUUUUAGUAGGGAAGAAGCGAAAGUGACGGUACCUGCAGAAAAAGCACCGGCUAACUACGUGCCAGCCGCCGCAGUAAAAC